ensembl:misc_RNA Metazoa_SRP Metazoan signal recognition particle RNA
GCCUAUAAUCCCAGCUACUCAGGAGGCUGAGAUAAGAUCACCCCAGCCUAAGAGUUCUGGCCUGUAGUGGGCUCUGCCAGUCAGGUGUCUACACUAAGCUCAGCAUCCAUAUAAUUACCUCCAAGGAGUAGGGGGACCACCAGGCUGCCUAAGGAGGGGUGAACUAGCCCAGGUUGGAAACAGAGGUCAAAACUCCCGUGCCGAUCACUAGUGGGAUCACGCCUGUGAGCAACCACUGCACUCCAGCCUGGGGCAACACAGCAAGACCCCAUCUCA